rnacentral:lncRNA from 1 species
AAGUCCAAUCAACUUGAAACUUAGUACACCUGUUCCUUAUGAUAUAAUCUUUCUAAUUUUAAUGCCAAAUUAGAGUUUUGACCCCAUUUUCACGGUACACUGAACAUAGAAAAUGAUAGUGCAAGUUUCAGGUUAAAGUUUUUGGUCAAAGUGUUUGGUCAAGGUAGUUUUUGAUGAAGUUGAAGUCCAAUCAACUUGAAACUUAGUAUACAUGUUCCCUAUGAUAUGAUCUUUCUAAUUUUAAUGUCAAAUUAGAAUUUUUACCCCAAUUACACGG